rnacentral:rRNA from 1 species
UACAGAGGGGGCAAGCGUUGUUCGGAAUUACUGGGCGUAAAGGGCGCGUAGGCGGCCCGCUAAGUCGAACGUGAAAUCCCCGGGCUCAACCCGGGAACUGCGUCCGAUACUGGUGGGCUUGAAUCCGGGAGAGGGAUGCGGAAUUCCAGGUGUAGCGGUGAAAUGCGUAGAUAUCUGGAGGAACACCGAUGGCGAAGGCGGCAUCCUGGACCGGUAUUGACGCUGAGGCGCGAAAGCCAGGGAGCAAACGGG